UACCGAGGGGGCAAGCGUUAUUCGGAAUUAUUGGGCGUAAAGGGCGCGUAGGCGGCUUGGCAAGUGGAUGGUGAAAUCCCUCGGCUUAACCGAGGAACUGCCAUCCAGACUGCUUUGCUUGAGGCCGGGAGAGGUGAGUGGAAUUCCCAGUGUAGCGGUGAAAUGCGUAGAUAUUGGGAGGAACACCAGUGGCGAAGGCGGCUCACUGGACCGGUUCUGACGCUGAGGUGCGAAAGCGUGGGGAGCAAACAGG
rnacentral:rRNA from 1 species